rnacentral:rRNA from 1 species
CACGUAGGGCGCGAGCGUUGUCCGGAUUUAUUGGGCGUAAAGAGCUCGUAGGUGGUUCGGUAAGUCGGAUGUGAAAUCUCCAGGCUCAACCUGGAGGGGUCAUUCGAUACUGCCGUGACUAGAGGUCGGUAGGGGAGUGUGGAAUUCCUGGUGGAGCGGUGAAAUGCGCAGAUAUCAGGAGGAACACCCGUAGCGAAGGCGGCACUCUGGGCCGAUACUGACACUGAGGAGCGAAAGCGUGGGGAGCGAACAGG